rnacentral:rRNA from 1 species
UACGUAGGGCGCAAGCGUUAUCCGGAAUUAUUGGGCGUAAAGAGCUCGUAGGCGGUUUGUCGCGUCUGCCGUGAAAGUCCGGGGCUCAACUCCGGAUCUGCGGUGGGUACGGGCAGACUAGAGUGAUGUAGGGGGAGACUGGAAUUCCUGGUGUAGCGGUGAAAUGCGCAGAUAUCAGGAGGAACACCGGUGGCGAAGGCGGAUCUCUGGGCCGAUACUGACGCUGAGACGCGAAAGCGUGGGGAGCGAACAGG